rnacentral:tRNA from 1 species
AAAAAAUUAGUUAAAUUAUAACAUUAGUAUGUCAAACUGAAAUUAUUAUAUCUUAUAAUAUUUUUUA